rnacentral:tRNA from 6 species
GGAGAGAUGGCCGAGUCUGGUCGAAGGCGAUUGAUUCGAAAUCAAUUGUCCUGAGAAAUCGGGACCGGGGGUUCAAAUCCCUCUCUCUCCGCCA